rnacentral:rRNA from 1 species
CCCUGUAGUAGGUGAGCGCGGGAGUGACGCAGGAUGGUAGCCGGCCGCGGCGGUGGUUGUCCGUGGUCAAGCGUGUGGCCCGUCCCCCAGGCAAAUCCGGGGGGCUUGUGGGUGAGGCGUGAUGAUGGGAGGCGUUUGCCUCGAUAUCCGGUGAUCCAAUGCUGUCGAGAAAAGCUUCGGCGUGAGGCUUCUUGCCGCCCGUACCCGAAACCGACACUGGUGGUCAGGUAGAGAAUACCAAGGCGAUCGAGCGAAUCCUGGCCAAGGAACUCGGCAAAUUGCUCCCGUUCCUUCGGUUUAAGGGAGGCCCCCGUGGGUGACCGGACCUGCUCCGCGAGCCCGUGGGGGUGGCACAUGAGAGGGGGUAGCGACUGUUUACCAAAAACACAGGAGCGUGCGAAGGCGCAAGCCGCGGUAUACGCUCUGACGCCUGCCCGGUGCCGGAAGGUUAAGAGGAUCCGUCAGCCUUCGGGUGAAGCGGUGAAUUCAAGCCCCGGUAAACGGCGGUGGUAACUAUAACCAUCCUAAGGUAGCGAAAUUCCUUG